rnacentral:rRNA from 1 species
UACGUAGGGGGCAAGCGUUGUCCGGAAUUAUUGGGCGUAAAGAGCGCGUAGGCGGUCCGAUAAGUCGGCUGUGAAAGUCAGGGGCUCAACCCUUGAAAGCCGGCCGAUACUGUCGGACUAGAGUCCGGAAGAGGCGAGUGGAAUUCCCGGUGUAGCGGUGAAAUGCGCAGAUAUCGGGAGGAACACCAAUGGCGAAGGCAGCUCGCUGGGACGGUACUGACGCUGAGGCGCGAAAGCGUGGG